UUUCUCAGCACCUAACCAGAUGAU
rnacentral:misc_RNA from 1 species